CAGAACGGUGGCUGACAGGACGCGGUGUUGUUUCUCUGAACUGAGACCCGUUUAAAAUACACAAGAACUUAUUUUAGUUGCUUAAGAGUUAUGAAAACAGCAUGUUAACAUACUUAUUAAGGCUCACAGAAUCUCGCCCGACAGUAUAAACCGCGUUUUAUGCUGCACUGACAGUAAUGUUCAUCUGACAGGAAAUUUCGUUUUAUCAGUUUUAUGGGACACGUUUGGCGUUUUGGACUGGUGAAGGUUAGAGCAGCGUUACCCUGGCAACCGGAACAUGAAGAGGACCCCGCGCUCUCUCUCCGUCUGACAAAACUACGCCUGCACAAUUCAGAAAUUACAUUUUAAAUUAACUUAUAUGGAGAAUCCAUUUAAAUGUUCAUUUUAACAUAUGUUUAUUUAAAUGUUUGUAAUGUUCAUGUUCAAUAAAUGAAGUAUUCAA